ACAAAUCUAGCCUAAAGACUAGAAACUGAUGCAAUCAAUUGUAUGUACUAAUGAAUAUAAUUAUUGGGAUAGGAAAUCCCAUCUUUUAUCUAUAUUUCUGACUGAGAAGGCAAUUGCUGGAAAUAUCUUAAAUCAGACACUCGCUUUUAGUGUCAAGGAUCCUUAGUGCAUACAGUAUGUUGUAUCACAUUAAGGCAUGGAUGAACUCUCUAUAAAAAAUUUGGUUUGAUAGAAUAGCUAAUAACACUGGUCCCUGGAAAAGAAUACUUGAUUCUGAUUGGCCACUCGCAGUAUCCAGCAAUAAUUGCCUAUAGCAAACCCUCUUCCAGGCAACUGAAACUGGCUCUACUUCGACAUCUCUUGUAUCACACCAUGGACUCACACUCUCUUGUUGCAUGCAAAUGCAACUGGCACCAUAUUGUGUCUCAGUUAUAACUGUAGUGAAAUUUACCUCAUCUGACUUCUGUAUUAAUAUUAGCCUACUGUAAUAUUAUUGUAGUGGUUGUCUUUUUGCAAGCACAGUUGUUUUGUUCACACUGCACUAGACUUUUCUUUCUUAGUGAAAUUAUAAAAUAAUUUCAACUCAUCAAUAUUAAAUGUCCACAUAUUUAUUUGCUAGUAGUUAUGCAAUAAGCUGAAUAAUGUACAGAGUUUGACUCCUAACCCUAAGGUUGUGGGUUCGAAUCUCGGGCCGGCAAUACCAUGACUGAGGUGCCCUUGAGCAGGGCACCAAACCCCCAACUGCUCCCCGGGCGCCACAGCAUAAAUGGCUGCCCACUGCUCCGGGUGUGUGUUCACGGUGUGUGUGUAUUCACUGCUGUGUGCGUACACUUUGGAUGGGUUAAAUCCAGAGCAUUCUGAGUAUGGGCUGUAUGUCACGUCACUUUUUUCAACUGCCAAGUUUAGAAGAGGCUAUGCAUGUCUUACAGUUUCUCAUAAUUGUGACCAAAGAAACUUUUAUCAACAAUUACCUCUUCAUUUAAUCUCAGAGAGAAAAUUACGUCUUUCUAAUGAAGCACUUUUGCCUCUUAAGGGACCUAUACCACUUUCAUUGGCCAAGACUGAAAGAUUGCUAGACUCAAUAAGGUGAGCCAGGUGAAAAGGACUCUGAGGAAUAAUUAAGAAUCACCAACACACAGAGCGAGACUGAGAAGAGAGAGAUGGAGACAGUGACAGAGAGAUGGAGCGAGGGACUUCUCUAUGUGUCAGACCUAACCUCUGCUAUGAUGAAAGGUGGGACUUCGCACUCAUACUGUGGACCUCCAUGACUUCCUGCAGAGAGUGCACCUGUCCUUCUCUCUCUGUCUUUCUGUCUCAUGACAGUCCAUCUGUGCUUUGUACCGAACAAUGCACUUUAGUUAUCUGCACAUAAGAAGCAUUAAGUGAGUUGCUUAGCUGGAACAGAUGCUUCUUAACUUUCCCUCAGCAUUGACAUUUGAAUAGAUGCAGCCUGUAGGAGUACAGAUGAUUUGACCAUGGCAGAUUCUCACUUCCUGCUCAAAAGAGACAAUGAUGUUCCUGUGGUAUCUUGAUUAUUAGGAGGGGAACCUCUGGCUCUUAUCAGGAGUCCCUGGACAAUAAAAGUGCCACGUUACAGAGAAAAGCCAUCAAUCCUCACCUCUCGCUUCCAGUCGUCCCUCUCCACCACGAGUAGCUAUAUCAGCUCCCACCCUCAAUGCAGUAUUUAUGGGUUAAAGGACAGCAUCAAAGGCAGCCCCACUCCAUCAUACUUCUUUUGACCUAAUUUCUGCAGAAAUGGAGACGGUUUAAAGGAAGAAAGUUUGUUUCUUCUCUUUUAACAUUUCUGGCUUCUUUUACCUUUUUUUUGUGCCUGAGUAUGAAAAUAUUAUCUAAUUAAGGGUGUGAAUGUGUUUUACAGAAAGAGAGCGAAUGCUGCUGUCCAUAUCUGUGUUGUAGCACAUAUUUCAAAGGAAGAAACAUUUGCAGUAUCAGCAUUCCCUGACAUCACUGUAAGGAUUUACUGUAUGUGUGACCUUACAUUGACUUUGAAUCUAGUCUCCCCUCACAAGCCCCAACUCCACCCUUCCUCCUAAAUCCUGAUUUAAAGAGUUGGUUCACCCCAAAUGUGGAAGUUCUGUCAGUCGUUUGUAUCAUUUACUUGAUGUUCUAAAUACAUUUUCAAAGGUUUUCUUUAUUCCUUGGAACUUAAAAGAAUUGGGUUUUCUGUAUACCAUAAAGCACAACAUGGCAAGG
ensembl:lncRNA